rnacentral:rRNA from 1 species
GACGAACGCUGGCGGCGUGCUUAAUACAUGCAAGUCGAACGGAAAGGCCCUGCGCUUGCGGCGUGCUCGAGUGGCGAACGGGUGAGUAACACGCGAGUAACCCGCCCUUGACUUUGGGAUAACACUAGGAAACUGGGGCUAAAAUAGGAUAGGAGCUCUUGCUGCAUGGGGGGGGAUGGAAAGAUUCGGCGGUUGGGGAUGGACUCGAGGGAUAUCCGCUUGUUGGUGGGGUAGUGGAUGGCCGAGGUUUCGACGGGAAGGCGGCCUGGGAGGGUGACCGGCCACACAGGGACUGAGGUGAGGCCGAAACUCGGACGGGAGGGAGCAGUGGGGAAGCUUGCAGGAUGGGCGGAGGGCUGGUGCAGCAGGGCCGCGUGCGGGAUAACGGUCUUAGGGUUGUAGACCAAUUUCGCAAGUGACGAAGCGUGAGUGGAGGUUAUGGGUAAAGAAGCACCGGCUAACUACGUG